GACGAACGCUGGCGGCGUGCCUAAUACAUGCAAGUCGAACGAGAGCGACCGGUGCUUGCACUGGUCAAUCUAGUGGCGAACGGGUGAGUAACACGUGGGUAACCUGCCCAUCAGAGGGGGAUAACAUCCGGAAACGGAUGCUAAAACCGCAUAGGUCUUCGAACCGCAUGGUUUGAAGAGGAAAAGAGGCGCAAGCUUCUGCUGAUGGAUGGACCCGCGGUGCAUUAGCUAGUUGGUGAGGUAACGGCUCACCAAGGCCGUGAUGCAUAGCCGACCUGAGAGGGUGAUCAGCCACAUUGGGACUGAGACACGGCCCAAACUCCUACGGGAGGCAGCAGUAGGGAAUCUUCCGCAAUGGACGCAAGUCUGACGGAGCAACGCCGCGUGAGUGAAGAAGGUUUUCGGAUCGUAAAACUCUGUUGUUAGAGAAGAACAAGUGCUAGAGUAACUGUUAGCGCCUUGACGGUAUCUAACCAGAAAGCCACGGCUAACUACGUG
rnacentral:rRNA from 1 species